CCUACGGGAGGCAGCAGUGGGGAAUUUUGGACAAUGGGCGCAAGCCUGAUCCAGCAAUGCCGCGUGAGUGAAGAAGGCCUUCGGGUUGUAAAGCUCUUUUGUCAGGGAAGAAACGGUGUGGGCUAAUAUCCCGCACUAAUGACGGUACCUGAAGAAUAAGCACCGGCUAACUACGUGCCAGCAGCCGCGGUAAUACGUAGGGUGCAAGCGUUAAUCGGAAUUACUGGGCGUAAAGCGUGCGCAGGCGGUUUUGUAAGUCUGUCGUGAAAUCCCCGGGCUCAACCUGGGAAUUGCGAUGGAGACUGCAAGGCUAGAAUCUGGCAGAGGGGGGUAGAAUUCCACGUGUAGCAGUGAAAUGCGUAGAGAUGUGGAGGAACACCGAUGGCGAAGGCAGCCCCCUGGGUCAAGAUUGACGCUCAUGCACGAAAGCGUGGGGAGCAAACAGGAUUAGAUACCCUGGUAGUCCACGCCCUAAACGAUGUCUACUAGUUGUCGGGUUUUAAUAACUUGGUAACGCAGCUAACGCGUGAAGUAGACCGCCUGGGGAGUACGGUCGCAAGAUUAAAACUCAAAGGAUUGACGNNGAGAGNGCGAGACGACGACGAGGAGGAGG
rnacentral:rRNA from 1 species